UCAGGUAGGUUUGAUCCUGGCUCAGAACGAACGCUGGCGGCAGGCUUAACACAUGCAAGUCGAGCGCCCCGCAAGGGGAGCGGCAGACGGGUGAGUAACACGUGGGAAUCUACCCAGCUCUACGGAAUAACUUCAGGGAAACUUGUGCUAAUACCGUAUACGUCCGAGAGGAGAAAGAUUUAUCGGAGUUGGAUGAGCCCGCGUCGGAUUAGCUAGUUGGUGGGGUAAAGGCCUACCAAGGCGACGAUCCGUAGCUGGUCUGAGAGGAUGAUCAGCCACACUGGGACUGAGACACGGCCCAGACUCCUACGGGAGGCAGCAGUGGGGAAUAUUGGACAAUGGGCGCAAGCCUGAUCCAGCCAUGCCGCGUGAGUGAUGAAGGCCCUAGGGUUGUAAAGCUCUUUCACCGGUGAAGAUAAUGACGGUAACCCGGAGAAGAAGCCCCGGCU
rnacentral:rRNA from 1 species